UACGGAGGGGGCUAGCGUUGUCCGGAAUUACUGGGCGUAAAGAGCUCGUAGGUGGUUUGUCGUCGUUGUUCGUGAAAACUCACAGCUCAACUGUGGGCGUGCGGGCGAUACGGGCAGACUGGAGUACUGCAGGGGAGACUGGAAUUCCUGGUGUAGCGGUGGAAUGCGCAGAUAUCAGGAGGAACACCGGUGGCGAAGGCGGGUCUCUGGGCAGUAACUGACGCUGAGGAGCGAAAGCGUGGGGAGCGAACAGG
rnacentral:rRNA from 1 species